CUCUUCCAUGCAGUCGACGGCAGCACGGGUGCUUGCACCUGGUGGCGAGUGGCGAACGGGUGAGUAAUAUAUCGGAACGUACCUUGUAGUGGGGGAUAGCUCGGCGAAAGCCGGAUUAAUACCGCAUACGCUCUGAGGAGGAAAGCGGGGGACCUUCGGGCCUCGCGCUACAAGAGCGGCCGAUAUCAGAUUAGCUAGUUGGUGGGGUAAAAGCUUACCAAGGCGACGAUCUGUAGCUGGUCUGAGAGGACGACCAGCCACACUGGGACUGAGACACGGCCCAGACUCCUACGGGAGGCAGCAGUGGGGAAUUUUGGACAAUGGGCGAAAGCCUGAUCCAGCAAUGCCGCGUGUGUGAAGAAGGCCUUCGGGUUGUAAAGCACUUUUGUCCGGAAAGAAAUCCUCUGGGUUAAUACCUCGGGGGGAUGACGGUACCGGAAGAAUAAGCACCGGCUAACUACGUGCCAGCAGCCGCGGUAAUACGUAGGGUGCGAGCGUUAAUCGGAAUUACUGGGCGUAAAGCGUGCGCAGGCGGUUUUGUAAGACGGAUGUGAAAUCCCCGGGCUCAACCUGGGAACUGCAUUCGUGACUGCAAGGCUAGAGUAUGGCAGAGGGGGGUAGAAUUCCACGUGUAGCAGUGAAAUGCGUAGAGAUGUGGAGGAAUACCGAUGGCGAAAGGCAGCCCCCUGGGCCAAUACUGACGCUCAUGCACGAAAGCGUGGGGAGCAAACAGGAUGUACCCCCCCCGGGUAAAUAACGGUUGCUCCCCACGCUUUUCUGCAUGAAGCGUCAUAAUGGGCCAGGGGGGCUGGCUUCGCAUGGGAUUUCCCCAUCCUCCCACUACUGUCUCACCUGGAGAUAUACCCCUGACCAUCUCUCUCGUGGUUGCAGA
rnacentral:rRNA from 1 species